rnacentral:rRNA from 2 species
UACGUAGGGGGCGAGCGUUGUCCGAAGUUACUGGGCGUAAAGCGCGCGUAGGCGGUCUAUUAAGUCUGAGGUGAAAGGUUCAGCGCUCAACGCGAACAGUGCCUUGGAUACUGGUAGACUUGAGUGUGGCAGAGGAGUAUGGAAUUCCUGGUGUAGCGGUGAAAUGCGUAGAUAUCAGGAGGAAUACCGAUGGCGAAGGCAGUACUCUGGGCUAACACUGACGCUGAGGUGCGAAAGCGUGGGGAGCAAACGGG